UGUGAAUUUUAGCCAUUGUGUGCGAUCACAACAUGGAAGGACAUGUGUGUGCAUGGAUUCUAAGUAUGUUGGCUCAAGAAAGGGAAACAUAGAGUUGGACAAGAGUUUACUCAUACAGAAAUAUCAUUCCUCCUUCCAGGUCCAUAGGUCUUGAGAAAAGAAUCAUCUACAUGGCACAGUAGGCCUCUGCAGGAUGUGUCUUGGAAUCUUGGAGUGACUGCACACUAAAUGACGUGAGAAGGCUAGAACUGCCACAGCAGGUGAUAGAAGAGGAACUGAUAGGCUCGGAGAAGUGGACAUGCUUAGGAUGGCUAGGAAAGUCCUGACUGGAGACACACUGUGGAAGAGCCUGGAAGGAACACUGAUCUCACAAGCGGCAAGAGAUGUCCGGGUGUGGAUCCCAGGCAGCAGAGACACAAAGGACAGCAGGGAGACCAGUGCCUUUCCAUUUGGAUUGUGACUACACACAGGAAGUGGCCAGAAUGACUGCAGGCCAUGGAAUAAAAGCUCAUGAAAAGACCCACCGCUCUGAGAAGGCUGGCCCUUGGCAGGGGUGGAAGGCUGCUUUUGUCCGUGAGGACCGUGCAAGACUCCAGCGGAACAUCCAGUGAUAUCAUCUUGGCUGUGAUGCAGAUUUUCUCUAUUGCUGAUAGAGAUGCAACUGGCAAACGGUGUAUUUAAAAGGGACCACUGAAAAUGUUCUGAAAUAUGCGUACACCUGGGAAACUAUUACCAUAAUCAAGAUUUGAAAAUUACCUAUCAGCCGCCCCCAAAGCCUCCUGGUGCUCCUUUAUACCCCUUCUUCUGCCCUCCCUCAGGCACAUAUAUACGAAUAUGCUUUCAGUCACUGUACGUUUGCUUCCACUUCCUAAGACUGAACGUGAAUGGAAUCAUACAGGAUGUAUGUCUGUUGUUGUAGUGUCUAUAGCAUUAUAUCCCAUUUGAAUAAUAAAGUAAUAUGUAGUAGCAAGUGGGCUUUUAAACCCUAGCUAUCUUCUACAGGGAGACCAAACUGGCUUUUGCUUUUUUUGUUUUCUGCUUGAUGUCUUUCCUCCCUAGUAGCUCUCUGACUCUGAUGUAGUGAGACUAAACUACUUGGGCUGGUGUCACUGAACAAAAUAAUCAGCCUGAAGGACUCUGAACAUUACACAGUUUCAGCUUUCAAAGUAGUCAUGAUUAUUAAACAUAAUCUUGAACAUAACCAAAGUUAGAAAUGCAGAGACACUUGUGGUUAAAGUCAGCAACUUGGAAUCUUUCAUCACUGAGAAUAAAGUUGAGAGAAGGAACAUAAAAUGUCUAGGCUCUCUAGGUCAAAAGUUGUCAUUAGCUCAUUCAUGGGACAUUUUCUUUCCCAUGUUCAUCUUGGCUCUCCCUCCAUCUCACGUCAGAGAUGGUAUAAUUUGUAGGGUCAGGCAGAUAACAACCACUGAGAAAAUUUUACUGAAAUAAAUUUUAUGUUCCAGUUAUCAUUUGAUGCACAGAAAAAAAAAAUCCUCUAUUUAAUGACACCGGCAACCAUUUUACUGUGCUCCCAGUUCCUGUAGUCAGGAGUUCCGACAUGUACCAGAGAUGACUUCAGACACGUGUCCAAGGCUUCAGCUGGAAACACCUGAAACUCGGCCAGCUGGGAGUUGGAAUCAUCUGGAAGUUUUUUACUCCCAUGGAAUGACUUAAAGACUGCAGUUUUCAAAUGCAGACUCGCAUGAUUACAGAUAACGAUUAUGAAUUGCAAAAAAAGUAGCUGAAAGAGUUGUGGAUGUUUUCACCAUAAAGAAAUGAUGUUUGAGUAAAUAGCCUUACCCUGAUUUGAGCAAUAUACAAUUUAUCUAUGUAGUGAAACAUCACAAGAUAACCUGUAACUAUGCACAAUUUUUCUAUAUCAAUAAAAAUGCUUUAAAAAGAAAAAAAGGACUUGACUCUGCAGAGCUUUGUGCCUGCUCAUGGGCUCUGUGUGUGCUAUAGGCUUCUCACAGCCUGGAAACUUGGCACCAAGAAGGUGCAUUCAAGAGGAAUCAUCAGAGCAAGUGAUCCAGGAGAGCCAGGUGGGAGGGCAUCCUUCUUCUGACCAUGUUCUGAGGCCAGCCAACUUCAUAGGGGCAGUUACACCUCAAUUCUAACGAGGAACAGGACAGUCAUGAAGACAUGGUGAGGAAGAACACGUAAGGUACAAUAUGCACUAAUUCAGUAGCCCUAUCAGAACAUCAGGGGUUUGGAAAAUAAGAAAGAGAUUUAUUUCUCUUACUUCUGGGGCUUCAAGACCAAUUCUGGUUCUGAGAGGUUGAGGUAGGGGGAGAUAGAGUUCAAAGUAAAAAGAAGUACAGAGAGAGAGAGAGAAACUGUUCACUUUCUUUUUAAAAUAAGGACAUUAAAGCUAUCAGAUCAGAGCCCACUCUUAUAACCAAAGUUAACCUUAAUUAUUUCCUUAGAAGGCCCCACUCCAAAUAAAGCAAUACCAGAAAUUUGGAUUCCAAUAUAUGAAUUCAGUCCAGUGAGGGACUGUAUAAACCUCCGUCCCUAACAGUUGUUGAUUCUGUCUCUGAAAAUACAGUCUGUUCCAGAGUGAACCGAGCAGGGGAGGAAAGGCCCAAGUUCCAAUAUGUAGCAUUGUCUUUGAAUGACAAAAAGGACAAGAAAGAUAGAGCAAUAAAGGAUAAUUUAUAGGAGGAAAAAAAUCAGCAUGGCUUGGUGGUAGAAAAACAAAAAUAAAAACAAAGAAAAUUUCUAAAUUAGAAGCCAAGUAUUCCACUGGAUUCUUUACUUGUUAAUUGUGAGACAUUCUGCAAUUGUUUGACCGAAUUUUUUCACCAAAAUCAAAAAAAGGUGCCAGAGCAACCAGCAAGAGCCUGUGUCCAAAAUCAUAUGCUUUUAUGGCUUCUUUCAUGAUUCAUAUUUUUUUCUCUAAUUAUCUGCUUCUUCUCAUUCUUUCUGUUAUAAAGAUUAUCCUUUUUUUUUUUUUCUUUUGGAAACACUGAAUAUCUCUAUGUCUUGGACAAUGGUGGUUUGAAAAAUAAAAUUGAAAACAUUUUGAGUCUAUACAUGCAGCACCCUUUAUUUUAGAUAGUUGAUAGCAUCUUACUCUGGAUUCUUGGUGAUAGAGUUUGUAGGGAAGAGCAUGCUUUAUGUUUUUUUUUUGGAGGGGGUGAAUGAAAGGAAAAAAAUCACUAAUCUCUGCUGGUUUAAAUCAUCUCUCACUAAUAAAUGGAAGAAAAACUUUGAACUUUUGCACUGAGUCUACUCUUUGUUUCUCUCCAAGCGUCCUAUCACCUAUCUUGUCAAGAGCCACGAGAAAGCUCUACAGCCCAGAGGGUGACUUCUACAGGCUGGGAGCUCCUGAGCACCCCUGGAGCUUGACCUAUGCAGAAUAUAGCUAGCCCCUGAGUACCUGUGGAUCAGCCCACUAAUGGAUGCCACAGAGGGCCCCACUGGUCAAGAGCGUGAGCCUUGGGAAACAACUCUUUUCUGAAACACAAGCUUCUUACCUUCUCUGACCCACAGGUUCUCCCCGCGUUCUGAUCCCCACUUGAGGCUAGAAGAAGGUGAAGCCAAACUUUUGCCAGGAAACCAGUGAAAUGAAUGAACAAGACUCCGUCAAGGAAAUCCAAGAGAAGCUUUACUGUGUCUUAUUUCUACAGGGAAACUUACUCUGAACCUGUUUUUUCUCCACGUAGCUAUCGGUUAAUAUCUCAGGUAGGUUCUGUGGUGUGGGACACCUUUUUGUUAUAGGCAUAGUCUCGUCUCAGUAACUGUACUGGUCAGUCCAGUGUAAUGAUUAAACUUCAGAUAUGCUCAUAUUUUAAAAUUGUCCCGUUUGCCAUCCCAAGCAUGUUUCAGUACCAGAAUGCAGUAAGGGAAUUGGGAAAAGUAUGGGUGUGCCCCUUUUCUCUACCUUCUGCCAGUCAGCCUCAAAGUCAAGUGGAAGUACAAUUUGCUGUAAAAGUUGCCAUCUUUGUCUUUUCAUGAGGGAAGGCAGCCUCAGUCACCAUCUCUAAUCAGUGUUUUGUUUUUUUUUUCAAAUAAGUCUCAGGAAACAGAUCUAACUCUCCAGGCCCAAGAUAUAGAUACAUGCUCACCUCUCUCAGUGGCCUCCCAAACCCAUUCGCAGGGGAAAGAUGACUGAGUGACCUGUUCAUCCUCAUUAAUGAUGGACAGCAGCACAAUGUCAGCUCUCUGAAGAAUUCCUCUUUCCUCUGCCAUUCCUGGUGAUAGGUGGGUGAGAUAGGCCAGUUCUGUCUCUUUUGCUUUCACAAACUCUUGGCAGGCCCCAUACAGCUGGUUCAGCUUCUUGCUUUAGUAUUUAGCUCAUGUUACCAUGUUCUGAUACAGUUUCACUAGGCACAAGUGACUAAUCCCAACUAUGAAUGCACAGUGAUUUUAAAAUUAUGUGAUUUUGAAGAGUUUGUGGAAAAAGUUUUUUUUUAAAAAAAAAAUCUCAUCAGUACAUAUUGCUUAUAUACUGAAAUAAUACUUCGGAAAUGCUGGGCUAAAGAAAAUACAAACAGUCCCCCUAUUAUGGCUUAUGAUAGUCAAGGAGCAUGUGUACUCUAUUACAGUUAAUUUAACCUGUUUCUUGCUAUAAUUUUUUUAAAUACGUCUACUAGAAAAUUUGAGUCUACCUGUGUUACUUCUAUAUACUUCUGUUUGGGGGUGAAGCUCCAAGCCAGACACAGCUAGUGUUCUGUUUUAAAAGGAAGAUCUGUCACACAAAGACCACGAAGAGUCAAGGGACUAGCUCAGCUCAUUGAGAGAUUCAUCAGUAAUUCCUACACUAGUUUCUGGGCUGGAAGCUGGAUGACACAGCACCCAGUGCAAUAUGAUGGCUUGGAUAUCAAAUGUUCUCCCCAAGGUUUUGUCCCCAACUAAUACCUUUGUAGAAAAUACUUGGAUCCUUGGCUCUGCCCUGCCCCUCCUCUCUCUCCCCCUUCUCUUUCUUCCUCCCCUGCCC
ensembl:lincRNA